AAUGUAUAUGUUAUCUUUGCAGAACUGGAAAGUAAGCAGUAGCAGUCUAGCAGAUGCUAUGAAAACUGCAAAGAGGUGCUAUAAUUUGAGAUGAUGUGCAAAGAGGCUAUUUCUGUGAAGGAAGCUUUCAAUAUCAGGUACCUGUGGUGCGAUGCAUGAGGCUCUGAUUGGUAGGAGUACUUGGAUCAAUAUUUGGAGUAUACUUGGAGUAAUCUCGAGCAGUAAUAUGUAUCUUGUUUCAAUAUAUUUAUGAAUAUUUGGAGCAAGAGUAUCAAGAGUAUAGUUCAUGUGCAGUAAUCUGUAUCUUGUUUCAGUAUUUGGAGACUCAUGAUGUACUAGUCCUUGCACUAGUACACAACAGAUGUGCUGCUGUGCUCUUGCUUGCAGUGCUUGCACUACUGAAUGAACUGUUGUUCCAUGGUCACAGGGAUGAAAUGAAGAGUGAAUUUGUUUUUA